UAUACCUACGGGAGGCAGCAGUGAGGAAUAUUGGUCAAUGGUCGGGAGACUGAACCAGCCAAGCCGCGUGAGGGAUGAAGGUACAGAGUAUCGUAAACCUCUUUUGUCAGGGAACAAAGGCGGGGACGUGUCCCCGGAUGAGUGUACCUGAAGAAAAAGCAUCGGCUAACUCCGUGCCAGCAGCCGCGGUAAUACGGAGGAUGCGAGCGUUAUCCGGAUUUAUUGGGUUUAAAGGGGGCGUAGCCGGGCUUUUAAGUCAGCGGUAAAAAUUUGGGGCUCAUCCCCCUCCGGCCGUUGAAACUGGG
rnacentral:rRNA from 1 species